UAAGACGAACCAUGCAAACGUUAUUCGGAAUCACUGGGCUUAAAGCGUGCGUAGGCGGUUCAGAAAGUUGGGUGUGAAAUGCCUCGGCUCAACCGAGGAAUUGCGCCCAAAACUACUGGGCUUGAGGGAGUUAGAGGUGAGCGGAACUCACGGUGGAGCGGUGAAAUGCGUUGAUAUCGUGAGGAACACCGGAGGCGAAAGCGGCUCACUGGGGCUUCACUGACGCUGAGGCACGAAAGCUAGGGGAGCAAACGGGAUUAGAUACCCCGGUAGUCCUAGCCGUAAACGAUGAGCACUGGGUCGAGGGGACCUCCACAUCCCCCCGGCCGUAGCGAAAGCGUUAAGUGCUCCGCCUGGGGAGUAUGGUCGCAAGGCUG
rnacentral:rRNA from 1 species